AUAAAGUCGGCCGGCGGCGGCGGUGUCAACCCCAGUAGUGAUCGCGUCGCCGCCGCCUAUCUUUCACCAUGCCCUGCGACAAGUGCUGCGACGGUAAAGCCUGCUGCUCGGGCGGCGACUGCUGCAAGGACGGCGGCGUCUGCAAGUGUGCCAACUGCAAGUGCUGCGCCGGGGCCGCCGACAAAGACGGUGGCGGCCCGGCGGCAGCCGCGGAACCGGGGGCCUCGGCCAAGCCGGCCGAGUAGGGCGCAGUCUGGGGCAGUGCCGCCCGGGCCGUCCCCUCUCCCCGGCGCGCGCCGCCCGUGUCGUGCAAUGUGUGAGCGGCUGUUGUGAAUAUAACGUUACGAUUUAUAGGAACUGCUGAUGAGCUUCUGCCGCCGCGGGAGGGUUGUUACAAGGAAAGGGAAACGAAUCCAGCGAUGAACCCACUCCUGUGCGGGCAGGGUUAGGCAAAACCCCAGCCAUCAAUAGUGCAUUCUCUUAUUCCAGAGAUGCCAGCACUACGUAUUGAUGUGAGAUGUGAACAUCGCUGACAUAAACGUAAUUUGGGCAAACAGUUUUUUCUUAGCCAGAGCAGUAACGAGCUUGCAGAGAGAAGCUCCGUUUGUUUCACCCUGCCAAUAUAACGAGAAGCAAUCG
rnacentral:lncRNA from 1 species